GAUCUGCAUUGGAGCUAAUCAAGAUGCUUCACUUCACCUCGCCUUUGUCAGCAUACAAAAGCUCAUGUCAGGAAAGCUUUCAGAGGACCAUGCUGAAUUUUAAGAGAUCUGAAUUUGGCUGAGGAUGAGCAAGCAGCUGUUACUUUCAAACAUUCUUCUUGAGAAUUCUACAGGAGGUCUGAGCAAAAGAGAAUAUCUGAUUAAUCACCUUGUCCCAAAUCAGCCACAGGAAAUCAUUGCUUCUGUUCAACACAGAAAUACCGAUGUUCAAAGUAGCCAGCAUUGAAGUGGUGGUUCUUGUUUUGAGAAUCCUUUGGACUGACCCUCUGGUCAACUGCACCGGUACAUACAGAAAUUGUUGCCCAAGAUUUGGCACGGUUCUCUCCUGACAAAUUCAGCAUUUCAUUGGGAAGAACAAGAAUUCAAAUCCUGAUAUAAUCAGGCUGUUCAGAUAAGGUGUGUAAUCCACCUCUGUUGCUUGAAAAUAAGAUGCUACUCAUGUCUGGGUAAGUAGGUCAAAUUCAUCUCUUUAUGAUCACUGACAAUGUCUUCAUGGCCCUGGUUGUACUCCUGUCAGCUGUAAUGCACACGUGGAAGCACUCAAGGUGACAUUAAAGAUAGAUGGGAUAAUCACUGCAGCCUGCUGCUGCACUGAGAUGUGGUGCUGAUGCCCCAGGUUUAGCUUUUGUAUUUCUCAGAUUCUGCGCUGCUUUAGUGUGUGGGUUUGGGCUUCAUAUUAGGGGAUAGUAAGCUCUCUUCACACAAUGGGUAAACAAAACAAGUCCUUCUCUAGCUGGGGCCCCAAGGACAGCCAAUCCAGAUCUCAGGCCCAAGAUCAUAAACAAUGCUGGACUGAAGGGAGAAAAACAAGAAGGAUGGCACUUCAUGGGCUGGAGCUGUAAUUGGACAAUUAGCUCCAAUAUGAUACCAAAACUUAUAAAAGUGUGAGACCCCAUGACCAGUUGUCCAUUUUGUCACCAUUUUGGGUUCACCUGGGUUGUAGCCCUGGCUGGGCUCUUGUGCUGCCCAAGGUGGAUCCAUUGAGGCCUCCUAAUAAAUACCUGCUUUAUUCUUUAGCUCUGUCUAGUCUCUGUUCUAGGUCAGCCUUCACAAGGCACCAGUGCCACGGCCUUUUCAGGGCAGGUUAGCUUGCAGUGGGCACACAAGGCAUCGUCACCAUUCCUGUCUUUGAUCUCAGGUGUGAAUGAGUAAGUAUUGAGACUGAACUGUCUGUCUGCCCAAGGUUCCUCCUUAUCCUGGAGAUAAGGAAAGCUUGCUUUGCUCUAAAUCAGAGUUUUCCAUCUUCAGGAAAAUCAGUGCAAUGCCUUGCAAAACAAAGAAGAGCUCUGUGGAAGCACAUGAAGUAAAUGGACUUCAUAAAAGUACAGGAAAUGUGACAGGCAUACACAGCAAUGCAGAUGAUUUUUCUGCUGGAUGUAUCAGGAUAAUGUGGCUGGAAAGAUGCAUGAAAAAUCCAUGUCACAUCCAGACUGUUGAGGAAGUUGCUGAUCUUGGUGCACUGCAGAGACAUCAGUGAAGCAGCCCACAGACAGCAAUAUUUCAUUACUGACAGAAAAAAGGAUUGCUGGAGAAGAAAAUGGGAUAAUUUUAAUUUUCCAGAUAUCCAAUCCUUUUGAGGAGACCAUGACAUUAAUACAAGCAUUGUGACUUUACCAUGGCUGAAUGCCAAGCCAAGACUUUCUGAAACCAAUUACUGACCAUCUCCUUUUGCUGAUCAUGUUCAUGAAUAAAAGGUUAGCAGAUUAUGUGGUAUAAUAUUCUUCAGUGGGAAGUGUGGGCCGAGGGUAAGACUGUUCUGUUCUUCAGAGUGAUCUAUUGUAAGUAGCCAAGUAGAAAAGGAACUAAAGGACUAAAUAUGCCGAAAAUUGUGUCUUAGCUUUUGAAGAAAAGAUGCUGGUAAGAAACUGCAGUGAUUUCCAUCCUGUAAAUACUUCCAUAUGGGUCAUUUAUAUCAAGAUAAGUAUUAAACAUUUUUCUUCCAACAUCUUUAUAUUCAGCACAUUUGUAUCCAUGCUUUACUUCUCUCAAGUAUAAGAUUAAUGAGAUAUAAAUAGUGUCAUCACUGUUUUUCUUCAGGUGGCAGUGCAGCUGUUAAGAAAAAUACUGAUUACAAAGCCAUAUCCACUUUGAACACUAAGUGGUGCUAUCAUAUUAAAUAUUGCAAUUCACUCCCUUGGAAACAGGUUGUACCACCUGAUAAACUCCAUCACUUUUCAGUUGUUAGAUUGCAAUUACAGUUAUGGUCCUGGUAAUAACGAUGGUAUAAUUUUUAUUCUCAUUAUUAUAGAAUUGUGCAUCACUACAACUUUGUGAAACCAGAGACCAAAUAGGUAAAGCAGCUGUUGUGUACUUAUUGUCUGUGCAACUCUAGCAUUGAGUAAUUGCAGACAAAUAAUGAAUUGAAAUAGAUGUUUUUCUAUAGACAGAUGAAAAACAAGACUGCUGUGUAGGGAUGCUUUUGAAUGACCUAUUUCAAUUUAAUAUAACAAAUUACAUAUUUAGUAUUAAUUUAGCAUUCUGUGUUGAAAGAAAAUUUAUUGUUUGUAUAAUGCGUAUUACUUUUAAAAGCACUGUCAUUAUUUGCUGACUACAUAAUAUUUAUUCUAUGGAAUAUCACAGGGCUGUCUGUCCCUAAGACAGACAUGACUAUUCCAGUAAAAUAUAUAUGGAAACAUUACAGAUUCCAACAUAGACAAGGCAUUCAGAAAGUAAUUGUGCGUCAUCACUAAAAUGUGGAAAUGAUGAAGAAAAAAAUUUGGAAAAAACUUAAAAUUGAAAAGGGGAAAUUUCUCUUUAUUUGGGU